rnacentral:rRNA from 1 species
GACGAACGCUGGCGGCGUGCUUAACACAUGCAAGUCGAACGGAAAGGCCCUGCUUUUGUGGGGUGCUCGAGUGGCGAACGGGUGAGUAACACGUGAGUAACCUGCCCUUGACUUUGGGAUAACUUCAGGAAACUGGGGCUAAUACCGGAUAGGAGCUCCUGCGGCAUGGUGGGGGUUGGAAAGUUUCGGCGGUUGGGGAUGGACUCGCGGCUUAUCAGCUUGUUGGUGGGGUAGUGGCUUACCAAGGCUUUGACGGGUAGCCGGCCUGAGAGGGUGACCGGCCACAUUGGGACUGAGAUACGGCCCAGACUCCUACGGGAGGCAGCAGUGGGGAAUAUUGCACAAUGGGCGGAAGCCUGAUGCAGCAACGCCGCGUGCGGGAUGACGGCCUUCGGGUUGUAAACCGCUUUCGCCUGUGACGAAGCGUGAGUGACGGUAAUGGGUAAAGAAGCACCGGCUAACUAUGUG